rnacentral:rRNA from 1 species
GAUGAACGCUAGCUGCAGGCUUAACACAUGCAAGUCGAGGGACCGGCGCACGGGUCAGUAACACGUAUCCAACCUGCCCUUUACUCGGGGAUAGCCUUUCGAAAGAAAGAUUAAUACCCUAUGUAAAGGAUGGGGAUGCGUUCAAUUAGGUUGUUGGUGAGGUACGGGCUAACCAAGCCUUGGAUGGAUAGGGGCUCGGGGAGGAAGGUCCCCCACAUUGGAACUGAGACACGGUCCAAACUCCUACGGGAGGCAGCAGUGAGGAAUAUUGGUCAAUGGGCGUUAGCCUGAACCAGCCAAGUAGCGUGAAGGAUGAAGGCUUAUGGGUCGUAAACUUCUUUUAUAUAAGAAUAUGUAUUAUAUGAAUAAGGAUCGGCUAACUCCGUGCCAGCAGCCGCGGUAAUAC